rnacentral:tRNA from 1 species
AGCUUCUUAGCGCAGUAGGUAGCGCGUUGGGCUCAUACAUUGCUAUGAAAAACAACCUUUCCACCGCAAGGUGGUGAUACCCAAAGGUCGUCGGAUCGAAACCGACAGAAGCUA